UUUUUUUAAAGAUAUUAAGUAAGUCCCAGAGCCUGUAAAGGUGAACCCACUGGGGCUGGCUGGGGGAAAGGAGGAAGCUUGCUCCAGAAGGAACUGUCUGAGGGAU
rnacentral:snoRNA from 3 species